rnacentral:tRNA from 2 species
GCGGGUAUGGCGGAAUUGGCAGACGCGCAAGACUAAGGAUCUUGUGGAGAGGUAAUCUCCGUGGAAGUUCGAGUCUUCUUGCCCGCA